rnacentral:lncRNA from 1 species
GAAUAAUGAUGGGGAUUCCAUAUCGCUCCACAAGGUUUUCAAAGUGAAGUCUAGUUGCCUCAUAGUUCAGGUCCCUUUUUGACACUGCAUUUGACAUUGAGGUAUUCAAACACACAAAGAAGAGAGAGAGAGAGAGAGAGAGAGAGAGAGAGAGAAGGGACAAGGCAGUAUAAUUAGUAUGAAAAUACUCACAUACAAUAUCCGGUUUAAGAAUCAUCCGUGAGGUUUCCUGUGACCAGAACAGAGGAAUUGAGCCACGGUUCUGCACAACAGAACUUAUUUGCAUGGGGCUGUCUUCAGGAACGUCCUCAGACACUAUCUGCUCUGUUUCGACAUCAUUAGCGACAUUGCCACUUUCGUUUAUUCCUCGUUUCAAGUACCUAAAAUCAGAAGGCGUUUAGGAGAAACAAAGCAUAAUAACUAACUCAAGUAAAGGUGUAUACUUUAAUUCUCAUCAUGCUGGAACGAACCCAAGAGAUGGAGAAAUAUUGAACAGUGCUUGCACAUGUAUUCUAAUGUGAUUAACAAUCUGGGCUUUAUUUGAAACGGUUUCAAGUUACAACUACUGUUUAGAAUACAGAGCGAGUAAUUAAAAUCAUGUUAGACCACAGAGCAGCAAACUCGGGAGUGAUGAAAUCUGAUACCUGGUUCCAGCGUUAUGGCGGGAACGCCUAGCAAUAAGAGUGAGUUUGAAAUUCCGUCCAGCUUCAGAAAGAGUUGUCUACAUGCACAACAAACGAAGGUUCAACCCAUUAAGCUAAACAGUACUGUGAAACUACAAGUUAUUUGAAAAUAAAGAUGCCAGUGUUUCAUAGCUGUAUCUGAAAUAGCACAUCCAAGUAUAUAAAAAUGGAAAGAAAUAAAAAUUGCAUGUGAGACAGAAUGCCUUUUUACGAAAAAAAACGACUGCUGCUGUGAGAAAGAAAAGAAUACGUGUAUUUGCUCCCAGAAACUUUCUAUUCUUACCUGCUUAAAGAAACCAUACACCAAUGCUACAGUCCACACGGUAUUCCGAAGACUUUUUGACACUGCAUUUGACAUUGAGGUAUUCAAACACACAAAGAAGAGAGAGAGAGAGAGAGAGAGAGAGAGAGAGAGAAGGGACAAGGCAGUAUAAUUAGUAUGAAAAUACUCACAUACAAUAUCCGGUUUAAGAAUCAUCCGUGAGGUUUCCUGUGACCAGAACAGAGGAAUUGAGCCACGGUUCUGCACAACAGAACUUAUUUGCAUGGGGCUGUCUUCAGGAACGUCCUCAGACACUAUCUGCUCUGUUUCGACAUCAUUAGCGACAUUGCCACUUUCGUUUAUUCCUCGUUU